rnacentral:misc_RNA from 1 species
CAUUUUUCAUUGAGACGCUGCAUCUAUAUUCAAAUAAAUUUGACAAGUAGUUUUGCUGUUGCUUGAAUCUAUUGUCCAUCCCAUAAAUUGCACAUGCCUGAACACUGUCACCUCUGAUCCUCUGACUGUCUUCAAUUUCGAGACCAAGAAUGUGAUUACCUGAAUAAAGGAAUAUUUACAAUUUCAUGUCAUCAUUAGUAUUCGUAAACGUCAGGGUUGUGUUCGACUUUGAUUCACAGGCUAUGCUCCAAUGCAACGUCAAAGGUGUGUCACGAGUUUUUAAUUAGUGAGUUUUUAGCAAUUGUGUCAAUAGCAAUACGUUCUUUCACUAGACUGAUGAAACUAGAAGAUUUCCACAUGCCGGAGGAGCCAGAAGCCGACAAACCUGCGUUUUCCAACCAGACGUUGCAUCCAUAUUCAAAUGAAACUGACAUGUAGCUUCGAUGUUGCGAGGUUCCAUUGUCCAGCCCCAAAACUUGCAGAUGUCUGAAGACUGUAGC